ensembl:lncRNA
CUUCAUUAUUAUUCUAACAGAAAAUAGUACGACGAAACCCCAUCUAGGAGCAUGUGUCCCAGCCUUACAUUUGAGUGUAUAUAUAAAGUGUGAUGUGUCAUAUGAUAUGAAAUAAUAAAACAUGUUAUCACAAGAGCCUUUGUGAGUGAGUUAUUUUGCAUUUAUUUGAAACCAGCACCAACCUUGUAAAAUGAAACAUAACAAUUUACCAAUUCUUUUACGAAAUGUGAGUGAACCUGUGAGUAGUUCAUACAAAUCGAAAUAUUAAAUCUCCAUGAGGGCGACAUGGUUGUGUUAUGUUCUAUUUUAUAAGACGUAAUAAACAAAGGUAUCCAAACUCUAUCAUUAUUCCUAACUGUUAACCUUUCUCAUUUUUCUCACAACUUACGCAAUGCAAAUCGCUAAAUUGUUAACGCGAACAAAACCGUUUGACCAGAUGUCUUCAACAAAAAUUGCUUUACAAACUGUAGUGUGGUUUUACAUUUUGCCUUUAAUUUUACUGCUAAUCUCAUCAUAUAAGUGUGAUUCCCACAUUGACAAAGUCUUGAUUAAGUGAAGAGGAAGAAAAAUCUAACGUUGGGCUAAAACAUGGCUACUUACUUUGAUCUGUUUUCAAAAAUCAGUACACAGAUAUAUAAAAUAAAUAUAAUAAAUGCAACACAUUUUUAGCUCUGGGUGUUAUUAAUGCUGAGGUUAUGUGUGAAAGAAGCCUCGCUGAGAGAGAUUAGCAGACAGGCAGUAUGCACAGUAGACAAACCCCACACUCUGGGUUUACAGGCCCCUAAAUACCCAGCUAUGAGUCCAACACUGCCACAUUCAGCACAUCCCAAUGCUACAGAGCUACACAAAGACACGUAAUAAUACACACAAUAUUGUCUCAAAAAUAGCAUGGAAUAUGAAUUUUCUGAAGAUGAAAGCAACGUUACAUUUUUAGUCACUCUGUUAUUUAUGUUAUGUAAUCUGUAGGGAAAUGUAUGUACACAUACAGGAAUUAAAGUUGAAGUAUUUUGCAUGUAUUCAGCUUGUUGUGCUUCUUUCAUUUCUUAAAUCUACUGUUUUAUUCAUAGUGAAUAAAUGAAUGAAUUGUAAAAUGCCCUGCUGCUUGACCUGUAUUAGAAUAAAUAGACUGCAUGCACUCUAAUGACUUUCCUUUUCUUCCCGAGUUAUAUUUUUCUUAAAAAUGUAACACACUAACACACUGUCCUGUCAAUAAUAAGGAGAGCAGAAACACCUCUAGCCAACUGGCCUAAGAUAAAACUCCUAAAAAUUAGGAUAGGAAAAUGGGGCAGUCAAAAAGGAAACAUUAAUUUUACAGAAUGAUUUUAAAGCCCCAGGGCACAGAGCAAAUGAUAGCUGUCUGUUCGAAAAAAGAAAGAAAAAAAAAAAAUCAUGUGGAAAUAUGGCUCACCAUGCAGACUAGGCCAACUGUCCUCUCAUGUACACACACACACACACACACACACACACACACACACACACACACACACACACACCCACAGACAUAUUUGUCUUACUCUCCUAUUAUCCUUAAGAAGACCGUCCAUUCACAUAUUAUCAAAUUUAUGUAAAUAUAUAAUGCAUAAUACUAGUUAAUACUUAAUAACCCUUUGCCUGUUUUAGGUUUUAGUGUUUUUCCCACCAAUAUACUUUCAUAUAACUUGUGGGGACCAGCUAGGAGGUCAAAACUUUCAGAUAUUCCUCUUCCACAUAUUUCUGGCCACAAGCGCGCACACACAUAGUUUCCCUUAAUUGAAGCAUUUCAACACUUUUUAUGCAUAAGUUUUCAUGCUGGAAGCAGCCAUGGUCAAACUUAUUUUUCCCAACAAAACGGCUGAUAUCCAAACGCACAUUUACAAGCAAGACUUUGUUUGCAAGUACCUGCCUUGGUUAGCUUUGUUUCUCCCGUAAAGGGAGUAAGGAGUAGCAAUAUUAAUGCUCAUAGCAGCAUUUGAAGUGAGGCAGAUGAAACAAAAAUGUCUGGCAGAAGCAGCACAUGUAAAAUCGCUGACACUUUGUGACUAAAUUUUCUGCCAGCAGCAGAAAAUCUCCUGGAGAGAAGGUAGAGGCGUGAAAUCUAUUUACGACCGCCACGGGCAAGAAGGUUGCUGUCCUAUCACAAGGAGCCUCUCGAAAGUAGUGCAACAAGCCCCAAGUGUGCUGCCGCCAUUACUUUACAGUUUUAUGUUGUGUGUGAGUGUGUGAGAGGGGUGUUUGUGUGAAUGAGGAUUUGCGGCAGUGUUGUAUCGAGACAAUGUGAUUGUUUUCUGCGGCAUUGUGAGCAGUAUUUCUGCGUCUCGAGCUAAUUCGGUUCACAGGAUCAUGGCAGACGUAUUAAGAGAUAGCAGCGAACUUCCUUCUGGGUUAUAUAGAGCCGUGUUUUUACAACGGCUAAUUUACCUAAUUUACUUUACUUUAGCUCAUUUACUUUACCUACACUUCAGUCUCUCUCACAUACAUACAUGCACAAAUACACCCACUCACAUAUUCUGAGUAUUUUAUAGCAACCCAUUGUGUUGGUUUUCAACUAAAGGACACCAUCACAAUUUUUAUCCUUUGUCCGAUAAAUAACUGUUAUCCUCUGCUGUAGUCUCAGAAAUCACUAGGCUGUGAUGCAAAUAGCACACAAUUUAUCAAACUAAUCCUCUUACACAUGCAAUUCCAAAGCAUGAAUGCCAGCAAUUACGACAAUGUGCUAAUUAUUGAUAACACUUUGAAAAAUAAUCUUAGAUGAAAUUUUGUCCAAUCUUUUCCACAAAUCCUCAGGGCAUAAAAUGGCAUCUGGGUUGCUUUUGCAUUUACUAUGUCAGAUAUAGUGAAGAUGAACACAGUUUAAGUCGUAGUGAAUAGAACAAAAGGCUACACAUAUACAGCAAUAUCCUCUUCCUGCCUAUAAGAUGAAUGUUCAUACCAGUAGUAAAGCAUAGGCAAUAUGGCCUCAACAGAUAACACUAAUGAAAAGGCUUCUUUAGUCUAUGAUUAUUGCUCUAAACAGGAAAGAGCACAGCAGAUUGCUUAAGGAAAUUCAUGUGACAAGAAUCAGGCUACAUAGCAUACAUUGCAUCUCCAUUAGUGAAAACUGCACCAUCGUAUUCCUGAUAGUUACUGAAAUACCAAAUGCAGAAAGACCAGCAUCUUCUCAAAUCUUUUAAUAUAUAAGAUUUCUUGCAGCAACAAUAUUUCUCAUAGUCAAAAGUCGAUUUGUUCAUUUAAAUCCGAUUCCAACAUGGCACGCGUGCGUGCGUGCGUGCGUGAGUGUGUGUGUGUGUGUGUGUGUGUGUGUGUGUGUGUGUGAAAUAUAUAUAUUUUUAAGAAUAGACAUGAUUUAUCAUAACAUAUUUACUGUAAAAAUUGCAAUGACAAUUUAGAAUAAUAAUCAGAGAGACAACAGAAAACGACUUACCUUUCUUUAGCAUUAGCAUAGAGGAGUCUGCACACACACUCACGCUCCCACAAACAUUCUCACACACGCAUGGGCAGGCAGACAAGAGAGCCCAUCAUUGUUCUCCACUAACUCCUCCCACACAAAGCUCUCACCCAGUACAUGUGGAGAUAUGCAGGAGCAACAGAGUGCGCGCACACACACACACACACACACACACACAUACUCUCUCUCUCUCUCAUACACACACACACACACACACACAUACACACACACAUACUCUCUCUCUCUCUCUCUCUCUCUCUCUCUCUCAUACACACACACACACACACACACAC